rnacentral:rRNA from 1 species
UGGCGGCGUGCUUAACACAUGCAAGUCGAACGGAAAGGCCCUGCUUUUGUGGGGUGCUCGAGUGGCGAACGGGUGAGUAACACGUGAGUAACCUGCCCUUGACUUUGGGAUAACUUCAGGAAACUGGGGCUAAUACCGGAUAGGAGCUCUUGCUGCAUGGUGGGGGUUGGAAAGUUUCGGCGGUUGGGGAUGGACUCGCGGCUUAUCAGCUUGUUGGUGGGGUAGUGGCUUACCAAGGCUUUGACGGGUAGCCGGCCUGAGAGGGUGACCGGCCACAUUGGGACUGAGAUACGGCCCAGACUCCUACGGGAGGCAGCAGUGGGGAAUAUUGCACAAUGGGCGGAAGCCUGAUGCAGCAACGCCGCGUGCGGGAUGACGGCCUUCGGGUUGUAAACCGCUUUCGCCUGUGACGAAGCGUGAGUGACGGUAAUGGGUAAAGAAGCACCGGCUAACUACGUGCCAGCAGCCGCGGUGAUACGUAGGGUGCGAGCGUUGUCCGGAUUUAUUGGGCGUAAAGGGCUCGUAGGUGGUUGAUCGCGUCGGAAGUGUAAUCUUGGGGCUUAACCCUGAGCGUGCUUUCGAUACGGGUUGACUUGAGGAAGGUAGGGGAGAAUGGAAUUCCUGGUGGAGCGGUGGAAUGCGCAGAUAUCAGGAGGAACACCAGUGGCGAAGGCGGUUCUCUGGGCCUUUCCUGACGCUGAGGAGCGAAAGCGUGGGGAGCGAACAGGCUUAGAUACCCUGGUAGUCCACGCUGUAAACGGUGGGUACUAGGUGUGGGGUCCAUUCCACGGGUUCCGUGCCGUAGCUAACGCUUUAAGUACCCCGCCUGGGGAGUACGGCCGCAAGGCUAAAACUCAAAGGAAUUGACGGGGCCCCGCACAAGCGGCGGAGCAUGCGGAUUAAUUCGAUGCAACGCGUAGAACCUUACCUGGGUUUGACAUGGAUCGGGAGUGCUCAGAGAUGGGUGUGCCUCUUUUGGGGUCGGUUCACAGGUGGUGCAUGGCUGUCGUCAGCUCGUGUCGUGAGAUGUUGGGUUAAGUCCCGCAACGAGCGCAACCCUUGUUCACUGUUGCCAGCACGUUAUGGUGGGGACUCAGUGGAGACCGCCGGGGUCAACUCGGAGGAAGGUGGGGAUGACGUCAAGUCAUCAUGCCCCUUAUGUCCAGGGCUUCACGCAUGCUACAAUGGCUGGUACAGAGAGUGGCGAGCCUGUGAGGGUGAGCGAAUCUCGGAAAGCCGGUCUCAGUUCGGAUUGGGGUCUGCAACUCGACCUCAUGAAGUCGGAGUCGCUAGUAAUCGCAGAUCAGCAACGCUGCGGUGAAUACGUUCCCGGGGCUUGUACACACCGCCCGUCAAGUCAUGAAAGUUGGUAACACCCGAAGCCGGUGGCCUAACCGUUGUGGGGGAGCCGUCGAAGGUGGGACUGGUGAUUAGG